GGGCGAACCGCUAGUGUACCUGUUGUGUGGUCGCAUGCAUCGCAGGGUAGCUAUGUUCGGAAGUGAUAAGCCGCUGAACGCAUCUAAGCGCGAAGCACGCUCCAAGAUAAGUAUUCCCUAUGAGUCUCCCGGAAGACGACCGGGUAGAUAGGUGGCAGGUGUACGCAUGGUGACAUGUUUAGCCGAGCCAUACUAAUUAGACCAUUGGCUUUGUUUA
rnacentral:rRNA from 1 species